rnacentral:rRNA from 1 species
UAUCUCUGUAGAGUCUGCAUAUCAAUAAGCGGAGGAAAAGAAACUAACAAGGAUUCCCUCAGUAACGGCGAGUGAAGCGGGAAGAGCUCAAAUUUGAAAUCUUCAAGGUUUUACCUUGACGAAUUGUAGUUUAAAGAAGUGUUUUCUGUUGGAGUUUUGGUAAAAGUUCUUUGGAAUAGGACAUCAUAGAGGGUGAGAAUCCCGUAUUUGACCAUUAUUUCCAGCUUUGUGAUACACUUUCAAAGAGUCGGAUUGUUUGGGAAUGCAGUCCAAAAUGGGUGGUAAAUUUCAUCUAAAGCUAAAUAUUGGCGAGAGACCGAUAGCGAACAAGUACCGUGAGGGAAAGAUGAAAAGAACUUUGAAAAGAGAGUUAAACAGUACGUGAAAUUGUCAAAAGGGAAGCGUUUGACACCAGUGUUGUUUCUAGCGAAAAUCAAUUUAUGAUGGCUUGAUGCUAAGCUUUAAGACUUUAUCCGCUUGUUGUUUAGUUUUCUUGUCUUUGUGAAUGCACUUUUCGUGGAACAAGUCAACAUCAAUUUCUUUUGCUGUAAAAGGGUAAGAGGAAGGUGGCUUCGGCUUCGGUUGAAGUGUUUAUAGCCUUUUAUCUCUGCAGUCGGAGAGAUUGAGGUCUGCAGCGUAGACUCUUCGGGGUUAGAUACGUCGGUGCUAAGCUAUAGCUUUUCAUAGACAACUUGUUGACUAUGUUUAGUCAUGUGGCUUACCCGCUGGCGCUAUUUUACCUACGCUUAGGAUGUUGAGUCAUCACACAUCUCU